rnacentral:rRNA from 2 species
GCGAUACAGGGUGACAGCCCCGUACACAAAAAUGCACAUAUUGUGAGCUCGAUGAGUAGGGCGGGACACGUGGUAUCCUGUCUGAAUAUGGGGGGACCAUCCUCCAAGGCUAAAUACUCCUGACUGACCGAUAGUGAACCAGUACCGUGAGGGAAAGGCGAAAAGAACCCCGGCGAGGGGAGUGAAAAAGAACCUGAAACCGUGUACGUACAAGCAGUGGGAGCCUCUUUAUGGGGUGACUGCGUACCUUUUGUAUAAUGGGUCAGCGACUUAUAUUCUGUAGCAAGGUUAACCGAAUAGGGGAGCCGAAGGGAAACCGAGUCUUAACUGGGCGUUAAGUUGCAGGGUAUAGACCCGAAACCCGGUGAUCUAGCCAUGGGCAGGUUGAAGGUUGGGUAACACUAACUGGAGGACCGAACCGACUAAUGUUGAAAAAUUAGCGGAUGACUUGUGGCUGGGGGUGAAAGGCCAAUCAAACCGGGAGAUAGCUGGUUCUCCCCGAAAGCUAUUUAGGUAGCGCCUCGUGAAUUCAUCUCCGGGGGUAGAGCACUGUUUCGGCAAGGGGGUCAUCCCGACUUACCAACCCGAUGCAAACUGCGAAUACCGGAGAAUGUUAUCACGGGAGACACACGGCGGGUGCUAACGUCCGUCGUGAAGAGGGAAACAACCCAGACCGCCAGCUAAGGUCCCAAAGUCAUGGUUAAGUGGGAAACGAUGUGGGAAGGCCCAGACAGCCAGGAUGUUGGCUUAGAAGCAGCCAUCAUUUAAAGAAAGCGUAAUAGCUCACUGGUCGAGUCGGCCUGCGCGGAAGAUGUAACGGGGCUAAACCAUGCACCGAAGCUGCGGCAGCGACACUAUGUGUUGUUGGGUAGGGGAGCGUUCUGUAAGCCUGUGAAGGUGGCCUGUGAGGGUUGCUGGAGGUAUCAGAAGUGCGAAUGCUGACAUAAGUAACGAUAAAGCGGGUGAAAAGCCCGCUCGCCGGAAGACCAAGGGUUCCUGUCCAACGUUAAUCGGGGCAGGGUGAGUCGACCCCUAAGGCGAGGCCGAAAGGCGUAGUCGAUGGGAAACAGGUUAAUAUUCCUGUACUUGGUGUUACUGCGAAGGGGGGACGGAGAAGGCUAUGUUGGCCGGGCGACGGUUGUCCCGGUUUAAGCGUGUAGGCUGGUUUUCCAGGCAAAUCCGGAAAACCAAGGCUGAGGCGUGAUGACGAGGCACUACGGUGCUGAAGCGACAAAUGCCCUGCUUCCAGGAAAAGCCUCUAAGCAUCAGGUAACAUCAAAUCGUACCCCAAACCGACACAGGUGGUCAGGUAGAGAAUACCAAGGCGCUUGAGAGAACUCGGGUGAAGGAACUAGGCAAAAUGGUGCCGUAACUUCGGGAGAAGGCACGCUGAUAUGUAGGUGAAGCGACUUGCUCGUGGAGCUGAAAUCAGUCGAAGAUACCAGCUGGCUGCAACUGUUUAUUAAAAACACAGCACUGUGCAAACACGAAAGUGGACGUAUACGGUGUGACGCCUGCCCGGUGCCGGAAGGUUAAUUGAUGGGGUUAGCGGUAACGCGAAGCUCUUGAUCGAAGCCCCGGUAAACGGCGGCCGUAACUAUAACGGUCCUAAGGUAGCGAAAUUCCUUGUCGGGUAAGUUCCGACCUGCACGAAUGGCGUAAUGAUGGCCAGGCUGUCUCCACCCGAGACUCAGUGAAAUUGAACUCGCUGUGAAGAUGCAGUGUACCCGCGGCAAGACGGAAAGACCCCGUGAACCUUUACUAUAGCUUGACACUGAACAUUGAGCCUUGAUGUGUAGGAUAGGUGGGAGGCUUUGAAGUGUGGACGCCAGUCUGCAUGGAGCCGACCUUGAAAUACCACCCUUUAAUGUUUGAUGUUCUAACGUUGGCCCGUAAUCCGGGUUGCGGACAGUGUCUGGUGGGUAGUUUGACUGGGGCGGUCUCCUCCUAAAGAGUAACGGAGGAGCACGAAGGUUGGCUAAUCCUGGUCGGACAUCAGGAGGUUAGUGCAAUGGCAUAAGCCAGCUUGACUGCGAGCGUGACGGCGCGAGCAGGUGCGAAAGCAGGUCAUAGUGAUCCGGUGGUUCUGAAUGGAAGGGCCAUCGCUCAACGGAUAAAAGGUACUCCGGGGAUAACAGGCUGAUACCGCCCAAGAGUUCAUAUCGACGGCGGUGUUUGGCACCUCGAUGUCGGCUCAUCACAUCCUGGGGCUGAAGUAGGUCCCAAGGGUAUGGCUGUUCGCCAUUUAAAGUGGUACGCGAGCUGGGUUUAGAACGUCGUGAGACAGUUCGGUCCCUAUCUGCCGUGGGCGCUGGAGAACUGAGGGGGGCUGCUCCUAGUACGAGAGGACCGGAGUGGACGCAUCACUGGUGUUCGGGUUGUCAUGCCAAUGGCACUGCCCGGUAGCUAAAUGCGGAAGAGAUAAGUGCUGAAAGCAUCUAAGCACGAAACUUGCCCCGAGAUGAGUUCUCCCUGAGACUUAGAGUCUCCUGAAGGAACGUUGAAGACGACGACGUUGAUAGGCCGGGUGUGUAAGCGCAGCGAUGCGUUGAGCUAACCGGUACUAAUGAACCGUGAGGCUUAACCUU